GGGGUGGUGAUCUAACUUGGCUAUGAUACCUGACUUGGGCUCAGGAUGUUCCGGGUUCAAAUCCCGGCUGCCCCA
rfam:Candidatus Parvarchaeum acidophilus ARMAN-5 ARM5contig_1497, whole genome shotgun sequence.